rnacentral:rRNA from 1 species
GGGUUGUGAGGUUAAGCGACUAAGCGUACACGGUGGAUGCCCUGGCAGUCAGAGGCGAUGAAGGACGUGCUAAUCUGCGAUAAGCGUCGGUAAGGUGAUAUGAACCGUUAUAACCGGCGAUUUCCGAAUGGGGAAACCCAGUGUGAUUCGUCACACUAUCAUUAACUGAAUCCAUAGGUUAAUGAGGCGAACCGGGGGAACUGAAACAUCUAAGUACCCCGAGGAAAAGAAAUCAACCGAGAUUCCCCCAGUAGCGGCGAGCGAACGGGGAGCAGCCCAGAGCCUGAAUCAGUGUGUGUGUUAGUGGAAGCGUCUGGAAAGGCGCGCGAUACAGGGUGACAGCCCCGUACACAAAAAUGCACAUAUUGUGAGCUCGAUGAGUAGGGCGGGACACGUGGUAUCCUGUCUGAAUAUGGGGGGCCCAUCCUCCAAGGCUAAAUACUCCUGACUGACCGAUAGUGAACCAGUACCGUGAGGGAAAGGCGAAAAGAACCCCGGCGAGGGGAGUGAAAAAGAACCUGAAACCGUGUACGUACAAGCAGUGGGAGCACGCUUAGGCGUGUGACUGCGUACCUUUUGUAUAAUGGGUCAGCGACUUAUAUUCUGUAGCAAGGUUAACCGAAUAGGGGAGCCGAAGGGAAACCGAGUCUUAACUGGGCGUUAAGUUGCAGGGUAUAGACCCGAAACCCGGUGAUCUAGCCAUGGGCAGGUUGAAGGUUGGGUAACACUAACUGGAGGACCGAACCGACUAAUGUUGAAAAAUUAGCGGAUGACUUGUGGCUGGGGGUGAAAGGCCAAUCAAACCGGGAGAUAGCUGGUUCUCCCCGAAAGCUAUUUAGGUAGCGCCUCGUGAAUUCAUCUCCGGGGGUAGAGCACUGUUUCGGCAAGGGGGUCAUCCCGACUUACCAACCCGAUGCAAACUGCGAAUACCGGAGAAUGUUAUCACGGGAGACACACGGCGGGUGCUAACGUCCGUCGUGAAGAGGGAAACAACCCAGACCGCCAGCUAAGGUCCCAAAGUCAUGGUUAAGUGGGAAACGAUGUGGGAAGGCCCAGACAGCCAGGAUGUUGGCUUAGAAGCAGCCAUCAUUUAAAGAAAGCGUAAUAGCUCACUGGUCGAGUCGGCCUGCGCGGAAGAUGUAACGGGGCUAAACCAUGCACCGAAGCUGCGGCAGCGACGCUUAUGCGUUGUUGGGUAGGGGAGCGUUCUGUAAGCCUGCGAAGGUGUGCUGUGAGGCAUGCUGGAGGUAUCAGAAGUGCGAAUGCUGACAUAAGUAACGAUAAAGCGGGUGAAAAGCCCGCUCGCCGGAAGACCAAGGGUUCCUGUCCAACGUUAAUCGGGGCAGGGUGAGUCGACCCCUAAGGCGAGGCCGAAAGGCGUAGUCGAUGGGAAACAGGUUAAUAUUCCUGUACUUGGUGUUACUGCGAAGGGGGGGACGGAGAAGGCUAUGUUGGCCGGGCGACGGUUGUCCCGGUUUAAGCGUGUAGGCUGGUUUUCCAGGCAAAUCCGGAAAAUCAAGGCUGAGGCGUGAUGACGAGGCACUACGGUGCUGAAGCAACAAAUGCCCUGCUUCCAGGAAAAGCCUCUAAGCAUCAGGUAACAUCAAAUCGUACCCCAAACCGACACAGGUGGUCAGGUAGAGAAUACCAAGGCGCUUGAGAGAACUCGGGUGAAGGAACUAGGCAAAAUGGUGCCGUAACUUCGGGAGAAGGCACGCUGAUAUGUAGGUGAAGUCCCUUGCGGAUGGAGCUGAAAUCAGUCGAAGAUACCAGCUGGCUGCAACUGUUUAUUAAAAACACAGCACUGUGCAAACACGAAAGUGGACGUAUACGGUGUGACGCCUGCCCGGUGCCGGAAGGUUAAUUGAUGGGGUCAGCGCAAGCGAAGCUCUUGAUCGAAGCCCCGGUAAACGGCGGCCGUAACUAUAACGGUCCUAAGGUAGCGAAAUUCCUUGUCGGGUAAGUUCCGACCUGCACGAAUGGCGUAAUGAUGGCCAGGCUGUCUCCACCCGAGACUCAGUGAAAUUGAACUCGCUGUGAAGAUGCAGUGUACCCGCGGCAAGACGGAAAGACCCCGUGAACCUUUACUAUAGCUUGACACUGAACAUUGAGCCUUGAUGUGUAGGAUAGGUGGGAGGCUUUGAAGUGUGGACGCCAGUCUGCAUGGAGCCGGCCUUGAAAUACCACCCUUUAAUGUUUGAUGUUCUAACGUGGACCCGUGAUCCGGGUUGCGGACAGUGUCUGGUGGGUAGUUUGACUGGGGCGGUCUCCUCCUAAAGAGUAACGGAGGAGCACGAAGGUUGGCUAAUCCCUGGUCGGACAUCAGGAGGUUAGUGCAAUGGCAUAAGCCAGCUUGACUGCGAGCGUGACGGCGCGAGCAGGUGCGAAAGCAGGUCAUAGUGAUCCGGUGGUUCUGAAUGGAAGGGCCAUCGCUCAACGGAUAAAAGGUACUCCGGGGAUAACAGGCUGAUACCGCCCAAGAGUUCAUAUCGACGGCGGUGUUUGGCACCUCGAUGUCGGCUCAUCACAUCCUGGGGCUGAAGUAGGUCCCAAGGGUAUGGCUGUUCGCCAUUUAAAGUGGUACGCGAGCUGGGUUUAGAACGUCGUGAGACAGUUCGGUCCCUAUCUGCCGUGGGCGCUGGAGAACUGAGGGGGGCUGCUCCUAGUACGAGAGGACCGGAGUGGACGCAUCACUGGUGUUCGGGUUGUCAUGCCAAUGGCACUGCCCGGUAGCUAAAUGCGGAAGAGAUAAGUGCUGAAAGCAUCUAAGCACGAAACUUGCCCCGAGAUGAGUUCUCCCUGACCCUUUAAGGGUCCUGAAGGAACGUUGAAGACGACGACGUUGAUAGGCCGGGUGUGUAAGCGCAGCGAUGCGUUGAGCUAACCGGUACUAAUGAACCGUGAGGCUUAACCUUACAACGCCGAAG